rnacentral:tRNA from 1 species
AGCUAGUUAGUCUAGUAGUAUAAUUCUUAGCUACAAAAGACCUAUAUUUCCUAGCUACUUAGCUAUAAUAGUCCCCGCCUAGCUAUAGGCUAUUUAAGGGGAUAUAGGAUCGAUAGGGUCUAAGAGGUCGUAGGUUCAAUUCCUAUACUAGUUA